UUGAACGCGAAGGACCUUACCAGGUCUUGACAUCCUCUGACAAUCCUAGAGAUAGGACCUCCCCUUCGGGGGCAGAGUGACAGGUGGUGCAUGGUUGUCGUCAGCUCGUGUCGUGAGAUGUUGGGUUAAGUCCCGCAACGAGCGCAACCCUUGAUCUUAGUUGCCAGCAUUCAGUUGGGCACUCUAAGGUGACUGCCGGUGACAAACCGGAGGAAGGUGGGGAUGACGUCAAAUCAUCAUGCCCCUUAUGACCUGGGCUACACACGUGCUACAAUGGACAGAACAAAGGGCAGCGAAACCGCGAGGUUAAGCCAAUCCCACAAAUCUGUUCUCAGUUCGGAUCGCAGUCUGCGGAACUCGACUGCGUGAAGCUGGAAUCGCUAGAAAUCGCGGAUCAGCAUGCCGCGGUGAAUACGUUCCCGGGUCUUGUACACACGCA
rnacentral:rRNA from 1 species